UACGUGGGAGGCGAGCGUUGUCCGGAAUUAUUGGGCGUAAAGAGCUCGUAGGCGGCUUGUCACGUCUGCUGUGAAAACUCGGGGCUCAACCCCGAGCCUGCAGUGGAUACGGGCUAGCUAGAGUGCGGUAGGGGAGACUGGAAUUCCUGGUGUAGCGGUGAAAUGCGCAGAUAUCAGGAGGAACACCGGUGGCGAAGGCGGGUCUCUGGACCGAUACUGACGCUGAGGAGCGAAAGCGUGGGGAGCGAACAGG
rnacentral:rRNA from 1 species